GCUGUACCUCACUGGUAGAGUACCUGCCUUGCAUGCAGAAUGUCCUGAGUUCAAUCAUCAGUUUCUCCA